GGCGAAGGCGCACGAAGAAGCGGAGGAGACGAGAUGCUUGGCCUCGUGCUUUCACGCCACUUAAAUGUGGAGCAUUUAACGAUUUCGAACGCUCUGCUCGCGGAUUUCUUCCUUCCUGCGGAUUCUCGUUCGGGUGGUGCAAAAUGCAGGUGCAAUCUUCGACUGGGAAAUCGAUCGAAGCAUCCACUUCUGCCGCCGAUGAAUCGUCGAGG